CAGAAGCAAUGCUGCUGCGGUCGCUCCGUAGCUGGGCUGCCCGGUCGCUACGCAGCAUGGGCCCGGGGAGCUCAGGGAGCCCCGGGAGUCUCGAUUCGGGCGCUGGGCCGCUGUGGGCACCUCGCCGCGCCUGUCCUCCGGGUAACUAGUACUUUUGUGCCACCUCGUAGGGGCGCCGCUGGACCCCGCCCCCUCACCUGCUAGUCCCUAGGAAGGGCCUGGGGACUGUGGAGCCCAAAGAACUGUCUGGACCCGCACUAGAUAAAGAUAGAGAAAAAGAUAAGGAGAAAAAAGCAGUGGUUUGUAUUGAGGGCAAUAUUGCAAGUGGAAAGACGACGUGCCUGGAGUUUUUCUCCAACACAACAGACGUCGAGGUGUUAAUGGAGCCUGUGCUCAAGUGGA
rnacentral:lncRNA from 1 species